UCCAACCAAGGGCCUCCCUCCUCCCGCUGGACAGCCAGGACCUCGGCCGCCGCAGGACUCUCAUUCGUUUGGCACCGCCCUUACUUUGGUUCGGUCCAGCCCCCCUCCUUUCCGACCAGCUCCAUGGGAUGGGGAAGUCUCUUUGGUGAAGCUUGCGUUCCGGGCCAGAGAGCUCCUGGAGAAGAUGAAAGAUGAGGAAGAUUUUCCUUCUGUAGUAUCUCUGAUCCCAAAGGACAAUUGGCUCCUCUCAAGCUCCUCAGCAAGCAUAUCAGUUUUGGGCCAAGCCCAGGCUAAGGGCAUCUAGUUGAGGGAAGCAACCUACCAGUCACGGGCCGUAGUUCCUCAUGGUUUCCAGUUGUGCUCUUGAUGGCUUGAUCCCUCUAGGCAGCCUGUAGUAUGUAACUCACAUAGAAUUAUGCCGAAUUUUUAAAGACUAUGGCUUAGCAAAUAUGCCAUAAUAAAUAAUGCUAUUUGAACUCAAACCUUGGUGACAAAUGGACACAGCUGGGCAUUUUUUUAAGGCAAUAGGAGAAAGGGUUUUGCAACGGUUGCCUUCUGGAUUGUUACUUUGGGCUUGGGAUUUCCUUGUAAGUGUCUAUCUACGUACUAAAUACUGUAGGUCUGACCCUGCUCGGCUUUUCAGGGUGAGGGCAAAUCCACAGAACCUUGCUCCACAACUGACACUGCAGACACCACACCCACUGUGGACAGCUUUCGGCUCUCCAUUCUGGGAAUAGAAAUGGAAAAUUGAGAUGGAGAAGAGGCAAGAGGACAAUCCUGCCUUAAAUUUACCAAUUGCCUCAGUGACUAUUAAGCAUUGCAUCAUAAUAACUAUUGCAUCAUAUCUUCCAAAUGUUGUAUUUCAGACUCAUGGCCCAUGGGCUGGAUGCGUCACGCCCUGGCCUCGCCCAUGCCUAGUUUAGCAAAGGGGGAGGAAAAAAAUCCCAAAAUGUCAUGUGAGGCCACAGUGACGACGUGAGUUUGACACCCCUGUUCUAUGGUUUAUCUUGAGCUAAUACACAAGUGGUGUAAGUGCUUAACUAAGACCCAUGUUUAACCUGAUGCUCCCUGGCUGGC